CUAACUUUUCCUUCUUUUCUUGUUCUAGCAGAGGAGCCGUGCACGUCUUCUCUCCAUUCUUUCCUGUGCAUGACUGGCCUCCUCUGUUCAGAAGCGGAUUGCUGGUGCUCAUCACUCCCCCUCACCCGAGAGAUGGCCGUCUUCCAUGUCACACAGCAGAUGUGAACCGCGGGGACAAGGGUCACGCCAGGUCACACUCACUGGUGGUUCCCAAUGCACUCCGGGCAGCAGGCAAGAGAUCCACAAGUCCUUCCUCAGCGGAGUCUC
rnacentral:lncRNA from 1 species